UACGGAGGUGGCAAGCGUUGCUCGGAAUCACUGGGCGUAAAGGGCGCGUAGGCGGGGAGGUAAGUCGGGUGUGAAAUCCCUCGGCCCAACCGAGGAACUGCGCCCGAGACUGCUUCUCUUGAGUCCCGGAGAGGAAGGUGGAAUUCCCGGUGUAGCGGUGAAAUGUGUAGAGAUCGGGAGGAACACCCGUAGCGAAGGCGGCACUCUGGGCCGGUACUGACGCUGAGGAGCGAAAGCGUGGGGAGCAAACAGG
rnacentral:rRNA from 1 species